AGUCUUCAUUUGUCAUAAACUUGCAAGAACAAGCAAAGCUAGGGUUUGGAGAAGAGGGAGAGCAUCACGAAAUUUGAGAAGAGACCAAGAGCUAGGAUUCGAUCAUUUUUUCGAGGUUAUCAGGUUUAAGGAUUCGUUACGUGGUAUAGUUUGCCGAUCGUUCGCUUUGGGAGCACUUUUGGUGAGGAGCUCAGUAUAGGCUGCCUUUAGUAUUAGUUUUCUUUUGGUUGAGUUGUAUAAUUAGUGCUCUGGUAUUUGUAACAUCAUGUCGGGGUGAACGUUUGAAUUUCGUCGUAUAUCGACGUGGUAUCUUUUUACUUAAGGUUUAUGUAAAUUAAAUAUCUUUUGAUGCUUUUGUA